rnacentral:rRNA from 1 species
CGAAUGCUGACAUAAGUAACGAUAAAGCGGGUGAAAAGCCCGCUCGCCGGAAGACCAAGGGUUCCUGUCCAACGUUAAUCGGGGCAGGGUGAGUCGACCCCUAAGGCGAGGCCGAAAGGCGUAGUCGAUGGGAAACAGGUUAAUAUUCCUGUACUUGGUGUUACUGCGAAGGGGGGACGGAGAAGGCUAUGUUGGCCGGGCGACGGUUGUCCCGGUUUAAGCGUGUAGGCUGGUUUUCCAGGCAAAUCCGGAAAAUCAAGGCUGAGGCGUGAUGACGAGGCACUACGGUGCUGAAGCAACAAAUGCCCUGCUUCCAGGAAAAGCCUCUAAGCAUCAGGUAACAUCAAAUCGUACCCCAAACCGACACAGGUGGUCAGGUAGAGAAUACCAAGGCGCUUGAGAGAACUCGGGUGAAGGAACUAGGCAAAAUGGUGCCGUAACUUCGGGAGAAGGCACGCUGAUAUGUAGGUGAAGCGACUUGCUCGUGGAGCUGAAAUCAGUCGAAGAUACCAGCUGGCUGCAACUGUUUAUUAAAAACACAGCACUGUGCAAACACGAAAGUGGACGUAUACGGUGUGACGCCUGCCCGGUGCCGGAAGGUUAAUUGAUGGGGUUAGCGGUAACGCGAAGCUCUUGAUCGAAGCCCCGGUAAACGGCGGCCGUAACUAUAACGGUCCUAAGGUAGCGAAAUUCCUUGUCGGGUAAGUUCCGACCUGCACGAAUGGCGUAAUGAUGGCCAGGCUGUCUCCACCCGAGACUCAGUGAAAUUGAACUCGCUGUGAAGAUGCAGUGUACCCGCGGCAAGACGGAAAGACCCCGUGAACCUUUACUAUAGCUUGACACUGAACAUUGAGCCUUGAUGUGUAGGAUAGGUGGGAGGCUUUGAAGUGUGGACGCCAGUCUGCAUGGAGCCGACCUUGAAAUACCACCCUUUAAUGUUUGAUGUUCUAACGUUGACCCGUAAUCCGGGUUGCGGACAGUGUCUGGUGGGUAGUUUGACUGGGGCGGUCUCCUCCUAAAGAGUAACGGAGGAGCACGAAGGUUGGCUAAUCCUGGUCGGACAUCAGGAGGUUAGUGCAAUGGCAUAAGCCAGCUUGACUGCGAGCGUGACGGCGCGAGCAGGUGCGAAAGCAGGUCAUAGUGAUCCGGUGGUUCUGAAUGGAAGGGCCAUCGCUCAACGGAUAAAAGGUACUCCGGGGAUAACAGGCUGAUACCGCCCAAGAGUUCAUAUCGACGGCGGUGUUUGGCACCUCGAUGUCGGCUCAUCACAUCCUGGGGCUGAAGUAGGUCCCAAGGGUAUGGCUGUUCGCCAUUUAAAGUGGUACGCGAGCUGGGUUUAGAACGUCGUGAGACAGUUCGGUCCCUAUCUGCCGUGGGCGCUGGAGAACUGAGGGGGGCUGCUCCUAGUACGAGAGGACCGGAGUGGACGCAUCACUGGUGUUCGGGUUGUCAUGCCAAUGGCACUGCCCGGUAGCUAAAUGCGGAAGAGAUAAGUGCUGAAAGCAUCUAAGCACGAAACUUGCCCCGAGAUGAGUUCUCCCUGACUCCUUGAGAGUCCUGAAGGAACGUUGAAGACGACGACGUUGAUAGGCCGGGUGUGUAAGCGCAGCGAUGCGUUGAGCUAACCGGUACUAAUGAACCGUGAG